AGAGUUUGAUCCUGGCUCAGAAUCAACGCUGGCGGCGUGCCUAACACAUGCAAGUCGAACGCGGUUAGUAGCAAUACUAACUGAGUGGCGAACGGGUGAGUAACACGUGGGUGACCUACCUUCGAGUGGGGGAUAACGUCCCGAAAGGGACGCUAAUACCGCAUAACAUCCUGCCUUUGAACAGGCGGUGAUCAAAGCCGGGGAUCGCAAGACCUGGCGCUUGAUGAGGGGCCCGCGUCUGAUUAGCUAGUUGGUGAGGUAAUGGCUCACCAAGGCGACGAUCAGUAUCCGGCCUGAGAGGGCGGACGGACACACUGGGACUGAGACACGGCCCAGACUCCUACGGGAGGCAGCAGUGGGGAAUUGUUCGCAAUGGGCGCAAGCCUGACGACGCAACGCCGCGUGGAGGAUGAAGGUCUUCGGAUUGUAAACUCCUGUUGCUCGGGACGAAAAGCUCCGACCUAACACGUCGGAGUCUGACGGUACCGAGUGAGGAAGCCCCGGCUAACUCUGUGCCAGCAGCCGCGGUAAUACAGAGGGGGCAAGCGUUGUUCGGAAUUACUGGGCGUAAAGGGCGCGUAGGCGGCCCACUAAGUCGAAACGUGAAAUCCCUGGGCUCAACCCAGGAACUGCGU
rnacentral:rRNA from 1 species